GCCAGAUAAAUUACAGAAAGCAUCUUCUGAGCUCUAACCUGCAAGGCAAACAUAGCGUGUUCUUGUGUUUUAACAGCCAGUGUGUGGCUGAUGUUUUCCGAGUUAAUUCUAGCAAACACGAAGAUUUCCGGACUAGGCAUUGUCGGGUCACGUGUUUGCUUUUUGGCUGGGAAAGUGUGACCCCGAAGGGACUUGUCUAAGGUCACAGGGCCUUGGGUCUGUCGGUGUCCAGUAGAGGUGGCCUCCUGGUAGCCAUGCCUUCCUCCUAAAGGAAUCUUUGCAGUUUGAAGAGAACAGACCAUGCGCUUAGGGCAGCUGCACCGCCAGCUGGAGCGCCCCUGCCGCAUUCUGCAGUGAUACUGACACCAAGGUGGCUGGCGUCCUAUCUCUUUAAAAAGAAAAAAAAAAAAAAAAAAAAAAGGCGGUGGGGGUGGGGGUGGGGGGGCGACUGCGGCAGCGGCAUCCAGUGGCCUGGACCAGUGCGGCUGCAGUGGUGAUCACGCUGGAACCUGCUGAUGGGACAAAAGGACAACAAAGGCCGGGACGCGAUGCUGGCAGCGGCCAGUGAGCGUGCGAGGACCCGGCUAGAUGUCACGGGAGCGGAGGGAUGCGGGCUCCGCGGGUGAAGGGGCGCCGGGUGCCCUGAGAGCCGGGCUGGGACCAGGACUGCGGGGCUCCGCGGUCGUUUUCGGAAACCGCCCUCUGGAAGGACAGAGAAGCUCCUUUCUCCCGCUGUGCCUCUGGUCUCAAAAGUGAUGCCAGGAUGCAGGUGUCCCCAGUGCCAGAAGAGAGAUGCCCACCAAGGAGCCCUGCGCGUCUGCUGAGACGAGGGUGAGGCACACGCAGCCCGAGACCGGCCACGGGGUCCACCACCUUCCGAAAGAAACACGGGAGCGCCUCAGCUGAAAACAGCUCAUCUUCGCUUUGGGGAAAAGCCAAGACCCAUCAGCUAGUCGAUACCAUUUUUCCCUGAGACCAUCUGUGGGUUAUUGGGGCAGAGGCCAAGCCCAAGAAGGUGCUGUUUCGAGACUGGAGGCUCGCGCGAAGGGGCACAGGCACAGGACUCAGCGAUGCUUCUGGACGCCGCCGCCGGCGGCCGAUGAGCGGACCCUGAGGGGGCUCAGCCUCUCCCCUGGGCAGGCAGAGCCCAACGGGACGACGCGCUUAAAGGAAGCCCAGGCCCGACCG
rnacentral:lncRNA from 1 species